AUUGAACGCUGGCGGCAGGCCUAACACAUGCAAGUCGAGCGAGUGGCGGACGGGUGAGUAAUGUUUGGGAAUCUGCCUGAUGGCGGGGGAUAACUACGGGAAACGGUAGCUAAUACCGCAUACCAUACGAUGAACCCAAAUGGGAUUAGGUAGUGGGUGAGGUAACGGCUUACCAAGGCGACGAUCCCUAGCUGGUCUGCGAGGAUGAUCAGACACACUGGGAGUGAGACACGGCCCAGACUCCUACGGGAGGCAGCAGUGGGGAAUAUUGCGCAAUGGGGGCAAGCCUGAUGCAGCCAUGCCGCGUGUGUGAAGAAGGCCUUCGGGUUGUAAAGUUCUUUCAGUAGGGAGGCGUUACCUACAGAAGAAGCACCGGCUAACUCCGUGCCAGCAGCCGCGGUAAUAC
rnacentral:rRNA from 1 species